AUGAAGUUUAUGUUCACGUUUCAGAAUUUUCUUGUGAUUCUGCUUUUAUUGUGUUUUACAGUGUUUUCAAAGAUCUUAAAAAACUCUGGCUGUGUGGUUCAGUCGGAGGUCCUGAAUUGUGUGUGUAUCACUGAAGGCUUUCCUUUACCCACCAUCACAUGGCCGCUGUUGAAGAAACACACAGAGUACUCUGUCAUUACAUCUGUGUCAAACCACACAGUCAACAGCACCGUCAUCCUACCUGCAAAAGACCUCAGCAACACUUCCGUUGAGUGUGUCAGCAGCAAUGGACAUGGGGAAGCAAAACAAACCUUCACCAUCCUAAGAUCCAACACGUCGGAACAAGCGGGUAAAUUCAAUGAAAUAUUAAACAUUGUUUCACGGCUGGAAGUCAUCAUUGCCUUUUUGAUUGGGAUACUUCUUUCAGCAGUCCUUUGCUGUGUGGCCACACAAUGCCUCAGGUACAGCUUUAAAUCAAAUAGCUAAUUCAUAGUUUUGUUUGUGGAUAAUCUUCAUACAUAAACGCACAUUUGUUGCUGUUUUUAAAUAUUUUCUUUCACCCCAGAAAAAAUAAGAAGAACUCUGUAAAACUGGAUGAGACUCUGGAGAUGGUGACCAGCGAAGAGGAUCCACUGGUGUUGUGUGUGAGUGACGAGGCAGCGCUGAUCAAAUAAGAAUUAUUACCAUUACCUGUUUCUCGCCUCAAAGGUUUUCUUAAACAUAUUUUAAUGUAUUUAGCUGUAAAAUGAGUCAGUCGAGCCAAAAGCAAGCACCGCCCACCUGCCGGAGCAAACCUUCCCAUUUGUUAUUGGUCAGCUCACAGCCAAGCAGCUGAUAGGAGCCACUGAGGAUGAAGCAGCUGUUGCCGGAAAACUCAAGCAAGCACAACUUCUGUGCUCUGACUGAACGUACCGGGAGAGAGAGGUGUCGGGACCCUUUGUGUAGCUUUGCAGUGCAAUACAGACUGGUCUGAUUAACAUUAAUUUUACUUUGAUAAAAGCAGAUACUACAAUCAUGAGAAGUCAUCUGUUCGAGGCAAAGACACAAAAACUACUUCUGCAAAAUUGCAUUGUUCAUAUUUGCCUGUUUAGGCACAAUGUUCGCAGUGUCACUGCAGGGACAAUAAUCUUUCAUCUGCAUCGUGUGUUGACAUGAACAGUGUUUCUGUUCAUCUUUAUUCUCUAUGCCUUUAUAAAAAAAAAAAUGAAAUUAAUGAAUGGCAAUUUAAUGCUAUUAAAUAUGCCUUAUCAUUAAAAAUAAAAAGACUGGUAAAAAUAGAUUAGAAACGAGAAAGUCUAACUGGUCAGUAAUGUCAAUAUACCAGAUACAAAUGUCACAAUACACAAUUGAUGAAUGUAGCAGCUGCUGAAUGAGUUGUAUCAUUGACAUUGUACCUGACAGAUGGAUGCUGCUCAAGCAGUGGAAGAGGAUCAGACCUACCAAGAGGCAGCUGAAGGAGGAGGAGCUGUGGCAGCAGAGAGAGCAGCCACUGAUCUCGAUGGUGGACCCAAAGAUGUGGAGUACGCUAGCAUCAAUUUCUCCAUGUUGACAAGAAAGAGUCAGAGGGAGGCAGCAAAGAAGCAAGAGACCACAGAGACGGAGUACGCUGAAAUUAAGAAAGAGGUAAAAGAGGAAAGAGAUGACAAUGGAGGAGAGGAAGGUUGUGUGUUGGAGGGCAAAGAGGAGGAGGAGGCGCAACCUUGUGUUCCUAAAGAGGAGGAAGAGGAGGAUGUGGCAGUGUACUCCAAUGUGAAGGACAUAAUGGGUGAGAUUUGAGCACUGUUGCAUAGUGGAGUUGCGCUACGAUGAAUUCUUUGCUCUCAUCAGUUGUGAUGGAUUGAUGUACUGGAUUGACACACCUGUGAAUGAAUGGCGUCCUGUGAGCAGCUGUUUUCUUCAAACGUCACAUUCAGCAAGCGGUAAACUGAAGUGACUGAGACGCAUCACACCUCGACAUGUGGGAGGCUGUGCAAAGCCAUUCAUUCAGCUCAGGGUGGAAUGGAAGAGAAUUUCUUACUCAAAUGUUUUUGUGCUUUAAUGUGUUUACCGUUCAUAAACUUUCCAGAUAAGUUUGACCCACAUCAAUGAAAAGUUGACACCGGUAUUUUGGGACAACCACCUCUGCUCUGAGUGUUCUUUUGUUUGAUACAUUUUAUUUAACCAGGAUAAGCAUGGGUCUUAAGUGUCCCUCUGGUCAGCCCAAAGCUCUUUAGAGGCCCACAUUUCUCUGCCUCAGGUACAAAUGAACCUUCACGUUCACCGUGUAGCAAAGAGGUUUCUCUUUUUCAGCGUGCUCUUGGGAUGGCAAUGCUUUGUUAGACUGCUUUGGACCAGACUGGAAUAUCUCAACUAUGAUGGAUGUUCGUAUACAGACUUAAACCUCAAUGUUUUGAAUUUCUCCAUUCUGUUUUAUAUAUAUAUUAUUAUUAUGAAGAAUUACUGAAUUACAAAUUACAGCUCGGUAUGCCUUUUCUUUUUUUAGCUUUUCAUUUGAUCAGUGUUUUCAAACUUAUAACACAUUUAGCCCGAUUUGUCUCUAAAGGCCUGUUAGUGUUCUUUAGUAAGAAGUCAUACAUUGCUUCCCUUUUUUUAAUGUGUUACAGGAAUCAUCUUGACUCAAGUACUAAAAGUAAACAGUAUCUGGCACAUGUGUUUGUCUGAAUAAUGAAAUCUUUGAGUGGUCCGUUACCACGAAGCCUUUCUAACUACAGAACCUGUGAACACUGCAGAAUGUACCAGAAGUGAGUGUUCAGUAUGUGUAACUGAUGAGGCCAAAGGUGAAGUCAGUUUAUUAUCUAGCACCUUGAAGUCUCAACAGGAAGUCAUUGGAGAGAAUCAAGUGAUGCUUUAUUAGGCAAUGUUUAAGUGAAGAACCACUUCAGGGACUUUUCUGAGAACAUAAAUGUGUUACAAUAAACCAUAGUGUUAAAAAUAGAAGUUCUUUCUAAGAGGCUUCAUGCAGCUGAAACAGGAACUAAGAUUUAAAUACUUUUUAGUUGCAGGUUUUUAAUGCACUUAAUCUUUGAUGGAAGUUGUACAUAAUUAAACUAAUGAUUAAACUAAUGACUUUUACAAUGGGCCAUCAUUAUUUAACUGCCGAUAUUAACAAGUAAUACAGACCAUUCACAUGCAUGCACAUCACUCUGCGCGUAAUGUAUCAUGCCUACAAUGUAGAAGGAUAGUUUGUACAUAGAAUGUUUGGUUUCUUACAGUGACACAAUUUUCUCAAGCAGCCAUAUGGUACUUCCCCUUUCUCAGUUGUUCACCCCUUCACAGUCUUGUACCUGAUCUAAUAAAUAAAUAAAUAAAAUAAGACUUGGUUCACUUCACUCUUUAGUAUUUAAGUUGCACAUUAUCAACAUGAUAUAUUAAAUACACAUAUGAUAUUUUGGAGACUUUAGGUCCAAGAGAGGCAGUCUAAGUCAGAUCACUUGUAGAGAAGCUUCCUGGAAACUUGAUGUAGCGCAAAGAGGGAAGAAAGUGCAAAAGGAGGAAGAGUCAGUUCAGAGCUGAGAGACUCGGCAGAGAUCACUGUAGAGAGAAGAGGGAGAGAGAACGAGACAACAAGAGGUAAAACACUUCUCUUUUCUUCUUUUUUAUAUCAAAAUAUCAAGAUUAAAUUCAAUGAAAUUAAAUGAAACUGAAGAAGUCAUUCUUCCCUAACUGAUUGAAGUUUUGAGACUGCCUCUUUUUACUGGCUUUGAACUAGUGUGUGCAUUUAAUUGAGAUAGUCUGGGGUUGGGGGGUUGUAGAGGAAGCUGCUACAGAUAAUUGAAGUUCAUUUAUUCAGCAGCUUUCUGUAACAGAUAUUACAAAGUCUUUGGAAAUGACUUAAACUCACUCAGAUCUUAGCCACAUUCAUCAAUGUUACUUCCAACAAACGUGAAGAUAAAACAUCCUGUAUUUAAAUCUGAGCCGUCAACCGUGGAGGUGUUUUUGAAAAUGUUUUGUACUUCUGCAAGGAAAAGACACCGACUGUCGUAAUCAUCGAAUCAGGAUGUUUGUUCUGAUCUGGGCGACUCUUCUCUUCUUUAUCAGAGGCAUCGCUGCUGAAGCAGGUAUGCCUCUUCAUUAUAAUGUUAAGAUGCCAACAGUAAAUAUAUGAACUAAAAUAAAUACUUUUACAUGAUAAACGUCCUCAUUAGUAGCAUUCCUCACAGCAUCUACUGACCUGGAAACUGAUGAAUAUAAAUUGUUAUGCAAGUGAUUCUUGUUUAUCAAAGAUGUUCUGGGUAAAGAAAUGUUAAAUGCUGAAAUGUUGUUUACUCAACGCUGCUGACAACAGCUGUUUGAAAGACAAACGGUCGUCGUAUCCUUCCUUCACCAUUUAUUAAAUAUCAUAGUGUAAUGUCAUAUGUAUUGUGUAUUUAUAUAUCUCCUGUCCCCGUUUUUGUCUGACUGUUUUCAUCAACAGGUGCAUCACCAGGAGAGAAAAAACCCCCUGACAAAGGAUUCUCUAUCACUCUUAGUGAAGCAGAAAUAACAGCAGAGGCUGGACUCUGUGUUGUAAUACCAUGUUCUUUCAGUAGUACUUCAGGCUUUACACCCCAACACUUAGUUUGGUACAAAUGUGAACCAUUGGAAUCAAGAUGUAGAGAUUCUGACAUUGUAUUCCACACCAACAAGAAGAACAACAUUCAGUCCAGGUUUAUGGGAUGGAUUUCACUGUUGGAGCCUGAAGUGAGUCAGAAGAACUGCAGCAUCAUCAUCAACGACCUCACUGUGUCAGACUCUGGAUCAUAUCAGCUCAGAGUUAAUGGUGUUAAGAAUGAUGGGAACACAGAUGGAUAUACAUUCACUACAAAAUCAACUGUCUCUGUUAAAGGUAUGGAGAGCUACAACAAAUAUAUAAAGUGAAGAUGUUCAUGUGUGUGCCUAUGAACUGCACCAACAUAUUUGGUG
rnacentral:lncRNA from 1 species